rnacentral:rRNA from 1 species
UACGUAGGGCGCAAGCGUUAUCCGGAAUUAUUGGGCGUAAAGAGCUCGUAGGCGGUUUGUCGCGUCUGCCGUGAAAGUCCGGGGCUCAACUCCGGAUCUGCGGUGGGUACGGGCAGACUAGAGUGAUGUAGGGGAGACUGGAAUUCCUGGUGUAGCGGUGGAAUGCGCAGAUAUCAGGAGGAACACCGGUGGCGAAGGCGGCAUCCGUGGACCAACACUGACGCUGAGUGAGCGAAAGCCAGGGGAGCAAACGGG